rnacentral:rRNA from 1 species
GCCGCGGUAAUACGGAGGGUGCAAGCGUUAAUCGGAAUUACUGGGCGUAAAGCGCACGCAGGCGGUUUGUUAAGUCAGAUGUGAAAUCCCCGGGCUCAACCUGGGAACUGCAUCUGAUACUGGCAAGCUUGAGUCUCGUAGAGGGGGGUAGAAUUCCAGGUGUAGCGGUGAAAUGCGUAGAGAUCUGGAGGAAUACCGGUGGCGAAGGCGGCCCCCUGGACGAAGACUGACGCUCAGGUGCGAAAGCGUGGGGAGCAAACAGGAUUAGAUACCCUGGUAGUCCACGCCGUAAACGAUGUCGACUUGGAGGUUGUGCCCUUGAGGCGUGGCUUCCGGAGCUAACGCGUUAAGUCGACCGCCUGGGGAGUACGGCCGCAAGGUUAAAACUCAAAUGAAUUGACGGGGGCCCGCACAAGCGGUGGAGCAUGUGGUUUAAUUCGAUGCAACGCGAAGAACCUUACC